CCUACGGGUGGCUGCAGUGGGGAAUAUUGGGCAAUGGGCGCAAGCCUGACCCAGCAACGCCGCGUGAAGGAAGAAGGCUUUCGGGUUGUAAACUUCUGUUCUGAGGGACGAAGAACGUGACGGUACCUCAGGAAUACGCCACGGCUAACUCCGUGACAGCAGCCGCGGUACUACGUAGGUGGCAAGCGUUAUCCGGAUUUAUUGGGGGGAAAGGGCGUGUAGGCGGGAAAGCAAGGCAGAUGUGAAAACUCAGGGCUCAACCCUGAGUCUGCAUUUGAACAUGGUUUGCUGGAGUGCUGGAGAGGCAAUCGGAAUUCCGGGUGUAGCGGUGAAAUGCGUAGAUAUACGGAGGAACACCAGUGGCGAAGGCGGAUUGCUGGACAGUAACUGACGCUGAGGCGCGAAAGCGUGGGGAGCAAACAGGAUUAGAUACCCUUGUAGUC
rnacentral:rRNA from 1 species